CUUAGUAUGUCACUGGUUGCCCCUAUUGCUUUAUAUGGACUAUAUGACAAACAGAAAUGGGAAUUUACAGAGAGGCUUGUGAGGGGCGGGGCCUGAUUGCUAAGAUGGCCAGACGCAUCUUUGGAGAGCUCCAGCACUGCUGAGCUUAAUUUGGGCUAAAACGGCUCAAAAUCGUGAUACUCGAAGUCAACUGAGCAUUGCAGAUGGACCUAGUGGGAAUCUGUGGAUCCAUGAUUUAAACGACUUAUCUAUGCUAACCCACGGUCCACUCAUGAGGCCUAGCAUGGUAGGUGACUUGGAGGCUGGAGGAAGCGGACGAUCUCCCACCACAGGGUCCCCUCCAAGCGGCAAAUAAUAAUCAGAGGGGUUGGAGCUCCUGUGCUGGAAGAAGCGCUUCGAGGCACGCUUCGAUCAAAUCUGCCAGGCGUUCUGGGGACACCUAUAUUACAGACACACCUCGUAUAUCUCACCCAUCGGGGGUUCACCAACCCAACUCCGGGAAGGCGCAAAUACCUCGCUGCCCGGGCAGGGUGAAGAACCGGAGGCGGAGGCCACGACAUCUACCAUCCCGCAAACAACCUGUGCAGCAGCCCCGAUACCAAGCUCCAGCUCAGUAUUUCAGGAAGGCCAUGAUUGCAAGCACAGCCAGAGGGGCCCCGCUCAGCAAGGUCAGAGGCCGGCAACGAGAAGAGCCUGGAGAUAUACCCUACGGAUGGAUGCAGCAGACCCUCCGGAGACACGAAUGAGGAGAGCACCACCGCAUGGAGCUGGAGGAGUAACCCCUCAAGUUUAAAGGAACUUCUGAGUCUCCAGAUUGCUGGCCCUCCUCUCAGGGGCAUAGGCUGAACAACUGCACUAAACCUCUAGCAUGCCCUAUCUUGAACCUUUGCAUCUCACUGUUAUCAUAUAUCUUUCAGUGGGCAGAUGUUUUGUUUUAUCUGUAUAGCAGCUUUACUUAUUUUCACGUUAGACAUGUCCGCUUGGUAUUUAGAUGUUUAGCUCUUAGCUUAUCCCUAAAAAUUAGACAGGUCUGCCUAGCUUGUCACUUAGAACAAACAUGAUAUCUCAACUAUAUAUUUUAGUCUACUCAUAUAGUCAGUUAGCACCACACGGUAUUUCUCUAUGUUUAUUGCUGACAUAUCCUGCCUACUCAUGUUAUAUUACAAAACUGUGCAUGUGCUCUUGGGAAAAAACAAAAAAACACGCAGUCUUGACAGCGUAGAUACUGCUCAUCUACUGUUAUCAUCCUGUGGUUAGUGCAGGGAUUCCUGUUCUCCCCCUUAUCUUUUUCAAUUCAGACCAGUACCCAGUGGCAUUACAACUAAAUUGUUUACUAUGAUCGUUCAACAUGUUUUAAUUAUUAGUUAGCCCAUAGUAUCAACUCAUGUUUUAUCUUGCUUAUUAUUAGAAAAAGUGCAAUAUUUUUCUUUGACAUUUUCUACCAAAUCUAUAUCCACUACUAUUGUACAUGCUUCUGCAGAAAUGUCUAUGCAAGCUUUGAAUGUAUACCAAUGUGC